CCCCUGCUGUACUCCUCACAGCCUCCUGUCUCCAUCCAGCCCACAUGUCCUCAGCCACAGAGUAACAAAAGACCUCAUAGCCCCCUUCUGCCUCACAGUGUCCCGCAGCAGGGCCCACAACCACUUGAGAUGGAGAUAACGCAGGUAUACCCCACCCAACAUAGCACCAGGGGCCGAGGUCGAGCCCUCAGCUUCCCACUGCUGCCAGGGAUAGAGUCUGUGGACAGCUGCCUGCUGCCACCUGCACCGAAGAAGAGAACACGGAUUGACUACAGCACAGAUCAGUUAGAGCAUUUAGAGGCCCUGUUCCAAGAGGAUCACUAUCCGGACGUGAAAAAAGAAAAGUGAUUGCUGCUUCAGUCGGCGUCACACCUCAGAGAAUUAUGGUCUGGUUUCAGAACCGAAGGGCGAAGUGGAGGAAAGUACGUGGUGUUACAGCAAAGGUGGAACACGGACAGAGUAGAGCUGAAUACAGUCCACAUCACCAAAUCAAUCCCACUUUGCCCACACUGGCUCACAACAGUAAGGGAGCCGCUUCUUUGUCUCGUUAUUAUGCUCUCAAGCUACCCCAGCUUGCCCCUGUGCCACCUUCAUUCCCCACCAUAACCACUCAGAGCCCACCCUCCCACAGCAGCCUGUUGGCCAGCCUCAGCACCCCAGGUGAAAGCAGAGUGAUGGAUACAGGCCAGCACCAGCUUUCAUCUCAGGAGGGUUUGGUGGAGUAUCCCCCCCGUCCCAUGCAGAGCCCUCCCCCUCUGCAGCUAGCCAGCCUUCCUCUUUUCACCACAACCUUUAACUCUGCAAACCCCACUCCCCCUCUCCUCAACACACCAGCCCACACCCCACCCCUCUUCCUGGAUGCUCUGGAGGGUGGCUCUACCUUGGCCCACCAUGAGACCCAGUCUCUGCCGACUGACACCAGUUUGCUCUUUGACUUGGACUACCUGACGUCUAGCCAGCAGAGCAACACUUUGUCUUACCAGCUCCAAACCUCCUACCACACCAGCCAGCCUCAGCUCCAACCUCAAGCAUCUCUGCCCCACAUGACCUACCUCACACCACCUCCCUACCUCACCCUUAACCCUCCAGAGUCUAAUCCUACCUCCUACCUGACUUUUGGCCCUGGAGGAAACUCGACAGGAGUGGUGACCGAUUCCACCACGGGUCAUGCCUACUUUCAGUCCCAGAGUGCAAGUCAAAUCCUACUGCAGUCGUCUGGUCACCACGCUGGGAUUACAGCGUACCAGUCUUACCCAUGGGGCAACAUGUGCAGUCAGCCAGCCAUGCACCAGCGUACUCAGUGCCCUCCUGCUUACCCUGGCAGCUUGGGACCUGGUCGAGAGCACCAGCCUACCUCUUCCACCAUCUUCCCUCUUCCUUCGUUCUUCCCUGGGGAGGACCAGGAGUCGUUGCAUGCAAAUUCCCAGGAUCCUUCACUCAACCAGACUUUCACAAGCAGCACCACCAGCACUGCCACCGUCCUGCCACCUGUGUCAACGCUCCUGCCCUCUUGCCUCAGGGUGGAGGAUACUCCAGCCAGGGAGUCAUUGCUAAUGCCCUCGCAGAAUUAAUCAGGGACAUUCAAGUCUGGGCUUUAGUCACAUGUUCCAGGGGAAGUCAGGUGACCGAAAGGAGAUCACAGACAGAAGAAAUGGAUGUCACAGUUCCUACAGAUGACCAGGACAUCCAACUCCCUCGUCUGGACAGAAGUAAAAGUGUUUCUGCUUUUAUCAUUUCAAUUUUGGCUUAGAACAAUAAAAAAGAAAAAAGAAAAAAAAAGCUUAAAGGCUGAGUCACAAAAAAUGUUCAAGACACCCUUGAAGUAAAAACAAAGUUCUUUAUCUUUUAGCUAAAUAAGGCUUUGCUUUUAAGAAAAUUAAAGCAUUUGUUAAUGUCUGUGUUCUAAAUGUCAAAUAAAAAAGGUAUUUCAGAUCUGUG